AUGUUGCAUUAUAAAGAAAUGAGUUCUAUCAUUUGUCAUGCCAUGGAAGUAUGGUUUGAAGUUUCCUUACUGUCAAGAUUUUUCUUCAACAUCUACAAGCUGGCUAGCAAAAUUAUUGCAACUACAGUUCACAUCAGUUCAUUCGUCGCAAGGAAAAAAAUCUACUUGCUGUCGGGAACCAAAGCAACAACAGAUCAAGUUACUUGGUCGGAAGAAAUUGUCAAGGGUCGCAGCUUACGCAUGAUUGGAAGUGGCAAUCUUUUGUCUAUCUCACCUAAGUUACAUGAUAUAAAAGAUGUAGAACAACCUAGAAUUUUGCGUCUCAACUAUGUGUCAUAUUUUCUUAUUAUCAUAUACUUUUUUUUGAGAUGGUCUUACUAUUAUACUUUGUAA
rnacentral:rRNA from 1 species